CCUACGGGAGUCAGCAGUGAGGAAUAUUGGUCACUGGGCGCUAGCCUGCACCAGCCAAGUAGCGUGAAGGAUGACUGCCCUAUGGGUUGUAAACUUCUUUUAUAUGGGCAUACAGUGCAGUAUGUAUACUGCUUUGCAUGUACCUUAUGAAUAAUGAUCGGCUAACUCCGUGCCAGCAGCCGCGGUACUACGGAGGAUCCGCGCGUUAUCCGGAUUUAUUGGGUUUAAAGGGAGCGUAGGCGGGUUGUUCAGUCAUUUGGUAAAGUUUGCGGCUCAACCGUAACAUUGCAGUUGAUACUGGCAUCGUUGAGUACAGUAGAGGUAGGCGGAAUUCGUGGUGUAGCGGUGAAAUGCUGAGAUAUCACGAAGAACUCCGAUUGCGAAGGCAGCCUGCUGGACUGUAACUGACGCUGAUGCUCGAAAGUGUGGGUAUCAAACAGGAUUAGAUACCCCAGUAGGC
rnacentral:rRNA from 1 species